UGGUGGAGCGAUUUGUCUGGUUAAUUCCGAUAACGAACGAGACUCUAGCCUAUUAAAUAGUUCGCCGAUUCACGUUACGUCGGCGUCAACUUCUUAGAGGACAAGUGGCGUUUAGCCACGCGAGAUUGAGCAAUAACA
rnacentral:rRNA from 1 species